rnacentral:lncRNA from 10 species
UGGUUUUUCCAUUGAUGCCUUUUUUAGGUUCCAAGAUCCAAUCCAGGUUGUAGCAUUGCAUUAAAUAAAUACUUACAUAUUUUUUAUAUUAUAUAUAAUGUACAUGAUAUAAUAACUAUAUAAAUAAUAGUAUAAUUACCAGUUUUUGGUAGAAACUUCUUUUAAUGACCUCUUUUCAAGUAGCAUGUAGCAACCAAAAUGCUUCCGGGGGCACACAAAUACUGAAUCCAUCAAUUUUCUAGUUCUAUCUUACCAGGUCUAAAUAGAACAGAGGCCAUGAUAGUGAUCCACUUUGUUUUUGAGGUUAUAUCUUGAUAUAAAUGCCAACAUUUCAUAAAUUUGUCAGUUAAUUUCCUUGAAGAUAUAUAAGUAGUGGCUGAGCAGUCUAUCUGUUAGGGAUAUUGCAUUCCAUCUGGGCUUUACAUAGGUGAAACUGUUAGACCAAGUAGCCACUCAGGUCCCUUCAGAUUUAGAUACUCCUUCUUCUUAGCUCACUCAGUGAUGUGGGGCCUACACAUCAUAGGUUUCAGACAAUCUGUUUGCAAAUUAGGCAGUUUAACACAAAAGUAGGGGGUGGUCAAUCAGGUUUUGUCGAUCUUCAUUUGGGAAAGAAGAUUUCUAGUUUCUCUUGAAAAAAGUAUAAGCCUUGGCAAAAUAUGCAUGGCUGCUUUGGCUGGAAGUGAGCAGCAUCUGCCACUUUAGAUGGACAUAAACUCUCCUGGUUACCACUGUCAUCAUAUUUCCCUAAUAUCUUAUAAUUCAGCAUAUUACCUGACUGGUAUGCUUCAUAUAGCUUAAUACAUCGGAUGGGUCUAAGUGUCAAUGAAUUUCUGCGGUUUUCUUAAAAUCCCAGUAAAAAACUUCUUCAGGUAGUUAUAUAUAGAAAGGACCAUGGUUGACAAUUUUAAUGCAGAAUUUGGUUCUCAGAAUGGAGAGGGAAGAAAAUAUAAUCCUUUACGGAAGGUUUGUUUGAAUGUGGUCUGUUGCCUUCUAGAACAGCUCUUGUACUGAAAGGUGCUCAAUAUCUGUAUUUGUUCAAUGCAGACUUAAGCUCUGCAUUUCUAGUAUCCACACCACCUCUCCAUGGUUUUCUUACCUUUACUUCUCACUUUAUCAUUGGCAUUCUCUCCAUUUAUUACUUGUGAUAGCUGUAUAACUAAUUAGUUAAUAAGUUUGCUCUGCAUGAGCAAUGAUAAAGACAUGAUUCUCCUCAGUCUUUUUGUUUUUUUUGUUUUUUUAAGUUGCAGCUUGGAAAACCUCAAAGGGUUGAAUGACUUUCUUGGGCAAAUUACAUGAAGAAGGGAUUCCAAGAACACAUGCUCCUGGAGAAGUUUUAUUUCUUCCAGAUCACCUGGAACUGAAACAAAGUGAAACUAGCAAUUUUAUCCAGGUUUCAACAAAAUCUGAUUGCUGUGUUUAGCCAUAAACCAGAACAAUGAAGUAUACAAAAUUCUUUUAUGACCUAUUUAUUCACUGGUUCAAGCCAUCUGUUUGAUAUUAUGUGUCUGAAUUUUGAGAAAGCAAUAAAAGCCAAACGACAUUGAGGAAAUUAAUUCACCUUAAGAAAAUAAUCUUGCCAAAUUGUUCCAGAAUAAUAUUCAUCUAUGGGUAAACUGUUUCUUGUCCAUAGUGGGCACACAUUCUCUGCUAUUCACUGUCCUGUGUCAAAAAUAGGCUGGCAUUGCCUGAAGUAGCUCUGUGCUAUGAGCAUGUUAGAUAUUGUUAGCAGCUUCUUGGCCUUUUUAAACUUAUAUUGAGAGAGAGUUGGCUUGUUUCAGCAUAAGUAAGAAGAUCAUUGAUUGGAGCCAACAUGUGGAAAGCAAAACUAUUAUGUUUUGAUUUAAUGAAGGCACUCAUUAUCCUCCAGGGAUUCUGUGGGCUCUUUUUGGAAACAAGACGUUCCCUGCUAUCAUGACUAAUUAUUGCAUCCAGCACAAGCUCAGUCCCUACCUUAAACAGCUGUUCAGCCCACCUGGAAGUCCAGAGGUAAAUCAUGUCCCUCUCUGGCUUUAUAUCUAGCAGAAGUCUAAGAUGUACCUAUGGGACUCUGAAUAAACACAGAGCAGAGAGGGGCUCACCUUGAUCCUGGGCUCACAGACAGAACAUUGCUGUGUUGUUGAUGUAGAACCAUUCAUUAUUUUGGAUUUCCUUUUUAGCAUGCUUCCCACUUUUGCCUGGUUGGAUUCUGGAUACCAAUUCCAGGUUUCUCAUUGGAUUUUGCAUCCUAUCCCUUUCAUGAUAGCAUAUGGCUCUCAUGAAAUUAAUCUUGACUUUGUGCCUGGAAUCACUUUCUCUUUUUAUUUUCCACCUUAAGCUGACAUUCACUGAACUCUGUUCAGACAAAAACUUUUUUUCCUGCCAUUAAGGUUUUUUAUUGACAUAAUAAUUUUACAUAUUUAUGGAGUACAUAGUGAUGUUUUGAUACAUCUCAUGUGCAGUGAUCAGAUCUGGGUAAUUAGCAUAGCUAUCAUCUCAAUCAUCUAUCACUUCUUUAUGUUGGGAACAUUCAAUACUCUUCUUCUAGCUACUUGACACUACGUUAUGUAUUAUUGUUAACUAUAGUCAUCGUACUGUGGUAUAGAACACUAGAACUUAUUCCUCCUAUCUAUCUGUAAUUUUGUAUCUUUUAAUAAGUCUCUCCCUAUCACCUUCUUCCCCCAUCCUUCCCAGCCUCUAGUAUCCUCUGCUCUACUUUUUACUUCUGUGAGAUCAAUUUCUUUACUUUCCACAUAUGAGUGAGAACAUGCUGUGCUUAACUUUCUCUUCCAAGCUUAUUUCACUUAACAUAAUGUCCUCUGGUUCUAUCCAUGUUGCCAUGAAUGACAGAAC